rnacentral:rRNA from 1 species
CGGUAGGUACUCGAGUGGCGAACGGGUGAGUAACACGUGGGUGAUCUGCCCUGCACUCUGGGAUAAGCCUGGGAAACUGGGUCUAAUACCGGAUAGGACCGCACUUUAGUGUGUGUGGUGGAAAGUUUUUUCGGUGUAGGAUGAGCCCGCGGCCUAUCAGCUUGUUGGUGGGGUAAUGGCCUACCAAGGCGGCGACGGGUAGCCGGACUGAGAGGUUGGCCGGCCACAUUGGGACUGAGAUACGGCCCAG